CCCAUGGAUGACGAAGACCUUAUUGAAAAGAUCAUCGCUAGACUUGACGAUGAAUACAAAUCUAUUGUUGAUGCUAUUAAAGGACAUGAAACUCUAAUCUCCUUUGAUGAACUUCAUG